AGAGUUUGAUCCUGGCUCAGAACGAACGCUGGCGGCGUGGAUAAGACAUGCAAGUCGAACGGAAUUUGUUUGGUAGUAAUAUCGAGCAAGUUUAGUGGCGAAAGGGUGAGUAACAGGUGGGAAUCUGCCGGGAAGUGGGGAAUAGCCAACCGAAAGGUUGGAUAAUGCCCCAUGUGAACGUGAGUUUAAAGCGGGGGACCGUAAGGCCUCGCGCUUCCUGAGGAGCCCGCCUCCUAUCAGCUAGUUGGUGAGGUAAAAGCUCACCGAGGCGAUGACGGGUAGCUGGUCUGAGAGGACGACCAGUCACACUGGAACUGAGACACGGUCCAGACACCUACGGGUGGCAGCAGUCGAGAAUUUUUCACAAUGGGGGAAACCCUGAUGGAGCGACGCCGCGUGGAGGAUGAAGGUUUUCGGAUUGUAAACUCCUGUCACCACAGAACAGGCAAUGCGGGUUAACAGCCUGCAAAGUUGAUAGUACGUGGGGAGGAAGGGACGGCUAACUCUGUGCCAGCCGCCGCGGUAAUAC
rnacentral:rRNA from 1 species